AUUGAACGCUGGCGGCAUGCUUUACACAUGCAAGUCGAACGGUAACAGGCCUUCGGGUGCUGACGAGUGGCGAACGGGUGAGUAAUGCAUCGGAACGUACCCAGAGGUGGGGGAUAACGCAGCGAAAGCUGUGCUAAUACCGCAUGUGAUCUGAGGAUGAAAGCGGGGGACCGAGCAGCAAUGUUUGGCCUCGCGCCUUUGGAGCGGCCGAUGUCGGAUCAGCUAGUUGGUGGGGUAAAGGCCUACCAAGGCGACGAUCCGUAGCUGGUCUGAGAGGACGACCAGCCACACUGGGACUGAGACACGGCCCAGACUCCUACGGGAGGAAGCAGUGGGGAAUUUUGGACAAUGGGCGCAAGCCUGAUCCAGCAAUGCCGCGUGCGGGAAGAAGGCCUUCGGGUUGUAAACCGCUUUUGGCAGGAACGAAACGGUGUCCGCUAAUACCGGGCGCUAAUGACGGUACCUGCAGAAUAAGCACCGGCUAACUACGUG
rnacentral:rRNA from 1 species